CAAACAGCCCCUCGCUGGUCCUCCAACCUUCCAACGAGAUGAAAGAAAGAGCGUCCUCCGGAAACCGUCAGAACUCCGGUGUAGCGCGGCAGACGUUCUUCCCUUUGCCGGUUCUCGUCGCUGUUUGUUGUUCGCUCUGAGAUUCCCCAGUACAAUGACUCAAGCAGAAAUUAAUCUGUGCUCUUUGUUGCUGCAAGAGCACUUUGGAGAGAUAGUAGAAAAAAUUGGAGUCCAUCUAAUCAGAACUGGCAGCCAGCCACUAAGAGUAAUUGCUCAUGACACAGGAACAUCACUGGAUCAGGUAAAAAAAGCCCUUUGUGUCCUCAUACAACAUAACCUAGUGAUAUACCAAGUACACAAACGUGGUGUGGUGGAGUAUGAAGCCCAGUGCAGCCGGGUGUUGCGAAUGCUUAGGUAUCCCCGGUAUAUCUAUACUGCCAAAACGCUAUAUAGUGACACUGGAGAGUUGAUUGUUGAGGAGCUGCUGUUGAAUGGUAAAAUGACAAUGUCAGCUGUUGUGAAGAAAGUGGCAGACCGGCUCACAGAGACAAUGGAGGAUGGCAAGACCAUGGACUAUGCUGAGGUAUCAAACACAUUUGUGCGACUGGCAGACACACACUUUGUACAGCGCUGCCCUUUGGUGCCUGCCACUGAGAAUUCAGACCCUGGGCCACCACCACCUGCCCCCACCCUUGUCGUCAAUGAAAAGGACAUGUACCUGGUUCCAAAACUGAGCUUGAUAGGAAAAGGAAAAAGGAGGAGAUCAUCUGAUGAAGAAGCUGCUGGGGAGCCCAAGGCCAAGAGACCAAAGCAUACCUUAGAUAACAAAGAGCCCAUUCCAGAUGAUGGGAUUUAUUGGCAGACCAACCUUGACAGAUUCCACCAGCACUUCCGCGACCAAGCUAUCGUGAGUGCGGUUGCCAACAGAAUGGACCAGACCAGCAGUGAAAUUGUGCGGACCAUGCUCCGAAUGAGUGAGAUUACCACUUUGUCUAAUGCCCCCUUCACCCAGCCACUGUCGUCCAAUGAGAUCUUCAGAUCCCUACCUGUUGGUUAUAACAUCUCUAAGCAAGUUCUUGAUCAGUAUCUCACCCUGCUGGCCGAUGAUCCACUAGAGUUUGUUGGAAAGUCUGGCGACAGUGGUGGAGGAAUGUAUGUCAUCAACCUCUAUAAGGCUCUAGCAUCCCUAGCCACAGCUACCCUGGAGUCUGUCAUACAGGAGAGAUUUGGGUCUCGCUGUGCCAGAAUAUUUCGACUAGUUUUGCAAAAGAAACACCUGGAGCAGAAGCAGGUGGAAGAUUUUGCAAUGAUUCCAGCAAAAGAGGCAAAGGAUAUGCUAUAUAAGAUGCUCUCUGAGAAUUUCAUAUCACUCCAGGAAAUUCCCAAAACACCAGACCAUGCCCCAUCUAGGACCUUCUAUUUGUAUACCGUCAACAUCCUGUCAGCUGCCCGCAUGUUGCUGCACAGGUGCUACAAGAGCAUAGCCAACUUGAUAGAAAGGAGGCAGUUUGAAACCAAAGAGAACAAGCUACAGGUGCAGAGGAGCCACAGCUGCAAGAAAUAGAGGAGAUGAUCACAGCCCCUGAACGUCAGCAGUUAGAGACCCUGAAACGUAAUGUCAACAAGUUGGAUGCCAGCGAGAUCCAGGUGGAUGAAACCAUCUUCCUGCUGGAGUCAUACAUCGAGAGCACCAUGAAGAGACCAUGACCCAGGAGAAGAGUCUUCCUCAAAAGAUCAGGAGGAUGGAAGGAAAAAUAAAGAAAGUGCCUAGAUGCAUUCUUUGCAGUGUGAUAAGUUGCAGAUUCUUGUGCUGAAACACCCUCUCUGUCCCUACCACCCAGGAUACAUCAGAAAAGACUUUGACAUAUUUUUUAAAGGUUGCUGAUCUAUCUUCGACCCAUUAUUCUCUUUUUCCCUCAUCAAAUAUAAGCAGUGGAAAGAACCUUAAAUCAACUAGAUUAAUCAUUUAUCACAUGCAUCAGUUUCCACCAAGAAAUCAGCCAAUCCUGUAUUUGAACAUCCU